rnacentral:rRNA from 1 species
UACUCGAGUGGCGAACGGGUGAGUAACACGUGGGUGAUCUGCCCUGCACUUCGGGAUAAGCCUGGGAAACUGGGUCUAAUACCGGAUAGGAGCCAUUUUUAGUGCGAUGGUUGGAAAGUUUUUUCGGUGUAGGAUGAGCUCGCGGCCUAUCAGCUUGUUGGUGGGGUAAUGGCCUACCAAGGCGGCGACGGGUAGCCGGCCUGAGAGGGUGGACGGCCACAUUGGGACUGAGAUACGGCCCAG